ensembl:lncRNA
CACUUGACUGUGCUGCAGCACUGCCUGAAAUGGUGGGAAGAAUGCAGGAAAGAAAAGGGAUUUCCUACUAGACAGAAACCUGUACUGUCUGUGGUUUGAAACCUUAAUCCCUGAAUAAUGCCUCCACCUGCCUCCUGGUUUUCUUUGGGGACUUUCCAGCGCUGGCCAGUCCUGACCCUAUCUGACUUCAGGGACAAUCCCAGUGUCUUGGGCUCCGAAAAAAGAGUGAAACAGUGACUGGAAAUGGUGCAGAGCUCAAGGGAGAAGAAUCUCCAGGAACAGCUGCCCAGGCCAGCUUACAUGCUGAUCAGGAUCUGCUGCAGCCUGGGAAUAAUCAGGCACCAGCUUCUUGGGCAGGUAAACUGCAUAAAAAGCAACAAAACAAACAGGACAAACCUGGAGUGGGCAUGUCCAGAAACCACGCCAUGGGAUUGCCGUGGGAGCAAUUCCCGUGAUGCUGGGCUGUUGGGUAGAACCUUCAACUGAGCUCUGGAUACGGUAGCGGCCAGCCAGGGCCGCACCUGAAGCACACAGGCAGUCCAGCAGCCGGAGCACAUAUGGGAGCACAGGCACGGCAGCCACAUUCCAGAGCUUCAGGGCUUUGGCGCUGUAUUUUCUUUUCUGCCACAGCCUUCCUGCGGGACACCUGUGGCCUUUGCAUUGUUCUGGGCAGACCUGUGCGGGGUUGUGCCUCGGGGAGCAGCCCAAGCACCAGCAGCCCUUCCUGCCGGGUCACUGCUGAGAAGCAAGCCCUUAAACAACUGCACCCAGCCCAGGGACUCACAGCAUGUAGGCCUGGCCUCCAAACUUGUUAGCCCUCAGACCGAGGGGAAGGUUGCAUAUGUUUCCUUACAGGGCUCGUCUAAAGCACAAACACAGUUAGAAACUCACCUUCCAUGGGAAAUGGAGGGGGCUGUGCCGGUGCAGAGCCACACCAUGUGGCCAUGAAGGUGCCCGGCAGUGGCUUGCUUAUGGCUGCACAGUGGAAUGGAAAGGAUUGGGAGCACAGGGUGUUGGAUUGCUGUGGGCUGUUGGGUCGCUGGGGAGUCAACGGGACACAGGCUGCAGGGGCCACAUGUGCUGAAAGGCCAAGGGCCGGCUCCUCUGCUGCAGGCUGGGCCUUGAGGAGCUGAACAAGAGGAGGUACAAAGGAACACGGGGCUGUGCUAGGAUUGGUUUCCUGUUUUAUGUCUUUCUGCAUAUCCACUCUAUCCAAAUGCAGGCAUGUGUGUAAACAGCGCCAGUCCCCCAUGCCUGAAAUGAAAAAUAAUAAAAAUAUAUUUACAUGACUUUAACAUUAGGCUAUUAGAAAGCAGCAGUCAGUAUAACAGAGAGGAGAAAAAAUUACAAAGAAUGAUUUGCAUAGCAAACGCAUUUCACAGUUGUUUUGGACAAAUGCCCUCGGUAAAUAUGUUUAAAGUCAUGUACAACAAGAAUAUUUUAUCACAAGUAACCAUGUUUUAAUAAACACUUCGUCUUUUGGUAUUUCAUUCUUUCUCAUCAUAAUAAUAGAAAUAUAACACCAUAUAUCACUGUAAAACACAUUUCCACAUAAAUGCUGAUAAGCACAAAAUAUUUUUCAUCAUUUACAUUUUAACUGUAAUAAUAUAUGGCAGGAUUAAAGCUGCAUCCAUCAUGUGUCUAACUAACCUUGCUGUAAUGAAUUUUUAAAUGUAAUGGUUUCUGUCACAAAGUAAAAUCAUACAUAAUAUCUUUUGACACAGUAUUCUGGCGUACGCGAGGUUUUAAAAUGUAAAUGCAACUUCAUUUUUAAUUAGAUUUAUAAACUCUAAUCGCUAUUUUCUUUUCUAUAAACCAAAGGGGGAAAGAAAAAACGUGGGGCUGCACAAAGCCUGCGAGUUCUUCCUUUUGGAAGCGGGCACGCACCCAGGAGGAGGGAGCAGGAACAAAGGCCAGGCACCUGCGCACCCACCUCGUGCCACCACCAGGAGCCGGCCAGCGGAGCUGCAAGGACAGCAAGGACAGCAUGUCCCCAGCCCUUGCCCAGCGCAGCGAACAGCCCGGCUUGGAGAGGAGAAUCAUUAAAAAUAAUUUGCAGGAGCUUUCUGUUCAGUGAGCCCUUUUUUUUUUGAUACAAUAUUUCCUUCAGUGAUUAUCGCCACGGACAUGUUCUGCCAUAUGGAUGGAGCCGGGCGAGGAGGCGGCUCAAUACCUGAGUGGUUAAUUAAGAGCUGUUGCUGGGCCACAAGAAGCAGGUUUGAAAUCCCUCUUCACUCACCGACAAUGAGUAGCUUUUUUAGCAGCAGCAGUCACUGGGGACAGCCAGAAGCGCAGGGUAAUUAUUUGAGAUAACAUAGAGCUGAAGAGCGCGUGUGCGCGCCCAUGUGUGCGAGGGGGAGCGCGCCGGCAAGGAGGGCAAUGCUACAGAAAGUUUACAAUACAAAGGUCAACAUCUCCUAUUUUUCUGUACAGUGUCGGCAGUCUGUAAUGCCUUUUUAGAGUGAAUGACAAUGGAUUCUAUCUUUUUUUUUUUUCCUCUUAAAAAAUGAAUAUCUUAUUUGGUAUUCAAACUUCGCAACUGUGAGCGUGGGGCAGCUGGGCCAACCUGAACGAGCCAUGCUCACGUUAUUGGCGCGGAUGAUGAAAUGACUUUGAUUGCCUUGUUGCAAAGUAGCAGUAAUUCCAACAUUAACUCAUGGAAACACUGCAUACUCUCAAGAACAAAGGAGAAAAGCGGUGAAACAAAAGCCAUGAAUGAACUGAAGAACGUCCUUAACACAGACGUUUAGGGCUAAAUUCUCAGCACACUGCCACAGGAACAGCAGAGACUGUUGGCUUUAACCAGGGGACUCACCUGAGUCAGAUGAGUGUCUGGGCUUUGGCUACCACAUUGUUUGUGGUCAGGGGCACCUGGGAGGUACCACUGAGGCCCUUCAGAACAUCAGUGUUCUCCAGCAGAGAUGUUCAGGGAUGCUCUUGUAGCAAUGCAUCCUGCUCAUUAGUUCUCCCAAAUGACAAAAAGCAGCAAAGUAGCUUAUAAAAGUGUUAUUUUCUACAGUGCUUCAUCUCUGAAGUGUUUAUGAAGUGCAGGACCAAGGUGCCAUUCCAGCCUACCACUGCCCAGUAUUCAGAUAGAAAGCAAACUAUGAAGCAGUGCACUGAAGUCCAUUUCAUUUCUCAGAGCUGCAGAGAGUAUGAGCAUCUGUUCUCUAACCAUCAAAGCUCAUCUACAUCAGGAGCUCAGAAUGCUAUUUCCCUGUUUGUUUGUGUGUUUCUAAGAAGGUCUUUCUACUCCUUUACUGAGAAGCCAAAUGAUGAAACCUCUGUCAUGUGUUUUUGGCAUUUCCAGAAAAUCCCACAUGUGAUUUCCAACUUAGGAGGCUUAAAUCUCCAUCCAAACAGGCGCUGUGUGCAGCUCACACAAGCAUUUAGCUUUGUGCUGUAGGGUAAAAAUAAAUUCAAGAGAGAGAACCUUCAUCUUCCUCCUCUCUACCUCCAUUUUCACAUCCUCCCAGAUGCUGGGAACAGCUCACCCAGAAUGACAGGAGACUUUGAGCAGAGGCAAUGGGAGGACAUGCAGUUACUGGGCAUCAACCAAAGCCCCAGACUAUCUGUUGGAGGGGGACAAGGCGUACCUGUGCCCCUGCUCUUUCCCAAGGCAGAUCUUGCAACCUUUGAUGUUCCUCCAGUGCAAACAAUACCACUCCAGCAGCGGCACUUUUGCCAGUGUAACUGUCUCAGCUUUGUUUAGAGACUGCCCAAUAUGUUAAUUAUCUUCUUUACCUCGGUGGCAUUAUACUGUCAAACCAUACAACAGUCUUUAGAAAAUAAAAGCUAACACCCUAAGCUGCUGUACCCGGAUCCCAUAAUAUCUAUUCACUGACAAUGCCUGAGCUGUCAGAUCAGAAGAAGCUUCAUUCGAAUAAAGGUGGGCAGAUGUGUGAUAAUGAGACAGAAGCAUACAGAUGCUAAUAUAACUGUUCAGCAGAGCAGGCUCGUCUUCGUUAGGCAGACCCAGGUAGCAGCUGCAGACUGUCAGACACUGGAAUGCUGCUUUCUCUUGAUUCUCAUUUAAGAUCAGCUUCGUUCGCUGUCUGUCAGUGAACUUUUCCCUCACAGGAGCCUGGACCCCUAGGUGAUCAGUCACAUUUCGACAUAACUAGAUGUCAAAAGAAGUUUAAGUUGUAUGACGAACUGUGAUGCAUUCCCUGUGCUGGCUGGCAGUCUCAGCCCUCCAAGGCGUCUUGUUAAUGAUCCACCUGGAAACUCUAGAGUAUUUCCCGUAUUUUGUUUUCUUAUUAAAAUACUGGCUAAGCCUUUGUCAAUAUCCAUGUCAGCAACUGUAAGCUCAAGACAAUAUUAUCACAAGCAUAAUUUGAUUUAAAAACAGAGCAGUGGACCGACACUGACCAGGUGGCAGGAGACGCACACGGAGAGAGCAGGAUGCAGGCGUUGAGCUGCUGUGAUUUAGCAUCAUCAAUUAAAACAAAAUAUUGCUGAUUUUCUCCUGGGCAGAAGCAGGGAAAAUGUAACUGAAGUUGCCCUAUGCAAUACGUCUGCAGCCAGGCAGCCAGCUCCACUGAUGAACACAACCAGGAAUAAGAUAAUGGGGAGCCUCCACAGAUGAGCACACAAUUCAAA